GUCUUUUUGAGUUUUAUAUAAAGUCUAACCUGCCCAUUGAAUAAUUUUAAAAGGCUGCGGUAUUUUGACCGUACAAAGGUAGCAUAGUCAUUAGUUUUUUAAUUGAGAACUUGUAUGAAUGGUUGCAUGAAAAAUUAACUUUUUUUUUAAAAAUAUUGAAUUUUACUUUUUAAUUAAAAGGUUAAAAUUUAUUUAAAAGACGAGAAGACCCUAUAGAGUUUUAUAAUUUUUAUUAUAAUUUUUAAAAAGUUUAUUUAAAAUUUUUAAAUAAGGAUUAUUUUGUUGGGGUGAUAGUAAAAUUUAAUUAACUUUUAUUAUUUAUAAAUUUAUACAUUAAUAUAUGAUUAUUUGAUCCAUUAUUAUUGAUUAAAAAUUUAAAUUACCUUAGGGAUAACAGCGUAAUUUUUUUUUAAGUUCAUAUUAAUAAAAAAUUUUGCGACCUCGAUGUUGGAUUAAGAUUUAAUUUUAGGUGCAGCAGUUUAAAUUUUAAGUCUGUUCGACUUUUAAAUUCUU
rnacentral:rRNA from 1 species